AUACGUAGGUGGCAAGCGUUGUCCGGAAUUAUUGGGCGUAAAGGGAGCGCAGGCGGGAAGGUAAGUCGGUCUUAAAAGUGCGGGGCUCAACCCCGUGAUGGGAUCGAAACUAUCUUUCUUGAGUGCAGGAGAGGAAAGUGGAAUUCCUAGUGUAGCGGUGAAAUGCGUAGAUAUUAGGAGGAACACCAGUGGCGAAGGCGUACUUUCUGGACUGUAACUGACGCUGAGGCUACGAAAGCCAGGGGAGC
rnacentral:rRNA from 1 species